rnacentral:rRNA from 1 species
GACGUAGGGGGCAAGCGUUAUUCGGAAUCAUUGGGCGUAAAGCGCUCGUAGGCGGAUCGGACAGUCGGUGAAGAAAGACCCGGGCUCAACUCGGGGAACGGCACCGAUACUAUCGAUCUUGAGGCAAUCAGAGGGUGAUGGAAUUCCCGGUGUAGCGGUGAAAUGCGUAGAUAUCAGGAGGAACACCGAUGGCGAAGGCAGCUCGCUGGGACGGUACUGACGCUGAGGCGCGAAAGCGUGGGGAGCAAACAGG